rnacentral:rRNA from 1 species
AUUGAACGCUGGCGGCAGGCCUAACACAUGCAAGUCGAAUGGUAACAGGAAACAGCUUGCUGUUUCGCUGACGAGUGGCGGACGGGUGAGUAAUGUCUGGGAAACUGCCUGAUGGAGGGGGAUAACUACUGGAAACGGUAGCUAAUACCGCAUAACGUCGCAAGACCAAAGAGUGGGACCUUCGGGCCUCUUGCCAUCAGAUGUGCCCAGAUGGGAUUAGCUAGUAGGUGGGGUAACGGCUCACCUAGGCGACGAUCCCUAGCUGGUCUGAGAGGAUGACCAGCCACACUGGAACUGAGACACGGUCCAGACUCCUACGGGAGGCAGCAGUGGGGAAUAUUGCACAAUGGGCGCAAGCCUGAUGCAGCCAUGCCGCGUGUAUGAAGAAGGCCUUCGGGUUGUAAAGUACUUUCAGCGGGGAGGAAGGGAGUAAAGUUAAUACCUUUGCUCAUUGACGUUACCCGCAGAAGAAGCACCGGCUAACUCCGUG